GAAGGUAGAUGAUGAAUAAUUUCUUAUCCUACACACUGAAUUAGCUGUAGACCUCAAAUCUCCGCUUAUUAUCUGAUUCCUUC